AUAUUCCUUGUUCCAAAAAAAUUAGAAAAUGUGUCCAUUUUCCUUUUCCCCAUAUCCCACGGAUCUUUCAUUAUCUCUUUACAGAAAAGCAACAAAACAUUGACGACCCUUCUUCGUCUUUCUCCUUCUCCUCUCCUUCAUCACCCCCGAAACCGCGACCCCUAGCUGCACCACGGUUGUUGAAUUCCUGCUACCCCUGGGAAGAUUUUCUUUUCUUUUUUUAACAUCCUCAACCCGUGAAUCAACCGAAUCAGCAAAAGUCAGAUAUCAAGUAGAUGCAACGAUCUAUUUGUUGCUUCAAAUCCGCCAUUAAUGUUGUGAAAAUCAUCAGAGUACGGAGAAAGGAGAAGAUUCGUUCAAUUUUGAAUUCAAAAUUUAAAUCUCCACUCCCCCCCCCCCCCCCCCCCCCGCCAUUUUCUUCCCACAUUUUGUUAAUUUUGGGUUUCAAAUUCGAACUUUAAAGUCCGGAUUGCCUAUAUAUGGGUGUUCUCCAUCCCAUAGAACAAGUUGCAAAUUCGAAAUAACAAGUUGACAGUUGAAAAAUUAGGGAAAAACCAGUUAACACUCUCAAAAAUUAUCUUCUAACGUUUGGGAAAACCCACAAGAAAAGUCACGAAGAUUUUUCCUCUUCUUGAUUUUGGUUUAAGUUAGAGUUUCUGGAGUUCGAGUUUUAUUGUCGGAAAACCCUUAACGUUGAAGCUCCGAUUAGCUGCCUCAAAAAAGCAAUAGAUCACAUAACUCGGGGUCUAAAUCGUUAGGAUCCGAUUCGUUGAAUAGAAACUUAUAAUAUCGAUCUUUUUUCCUCCUUGAUUAUUUUAUUAUUUGUACAUGUUUUACUAACCCUUAUAUGUACUUGAUUAUGAAUUUUUAUGUGAAUAAUUAAAUUUGAAUUAGCUUUA